GAUUCUGGCUCAGAUUGAACGCUGGCGGCGUGCUUAACACAUGCAAGUCGCGCGUGAAAGGACUUCGGUCCAAGUAAAGCGGCGCACGGGUGAGUAACGCGUGGAUGAUCUACCCAUGAGUUAGGAAUAACGGCUGGAAACGGUCGCUAAUACCAAAUACGCUCCGAUUUCAACUUCGGGGGGAAAGGUGGCCUCUGCUUGCAAGCUACUGCUCAUGGAUGAGUCCGCGUCCCAUUAGCUAGUUGGUGGGGUAACGGCCCACCAAGGCGACGAUGGGUAGCCGGUCUGAGAGGAUGACCGGCCACACUGGGACUGGAACACGGCCCAGACUCCUACGGGAGGCAGCAGUGGGGAAUAUUGCGCAAUGGGCGAAAGCCUGACGCAGCGACGCCGCGUGAGGGAUGAAGGUCCUCGGAUCGUAAACCUCUGUCAGGAGGGAAGAACCGCCACGGUGCUAAUCAGCCGUGGUCUGACGGUACCUCCAAAGGAAGCACCGGCUAACUCCGUGCCAGCAGCGGC
rnacentral:rRNA from 1 species